UACGUAGGGGGCAAGCGUUGUCCGGAAUCAUUGGGCGUAAAGAGCGUGUAGGCGGCCAGAAAAGUCCGCUGUGAAAACUCGAGGCUCAACUUCGAGCUGUCGGUGGAAACUUUCUGGCUAGAGUCCGGAAGAGGAGAAUGGAAUUCCUGGUGUAGCGGUGAAAUGCGUAGAUAUCUGGAGGAACACCGGUGGCGAAGGCGGCAUCCUGGACCGGUAUUGACGCUGAGGCGCGGAAAGCCAGGGGAGCAAGCACGGG
rnacentral:rRNA from 1 species